UAGGAUUAAGAUUGAUCAUCAUCAUCCUUAUCAUCUGAGCUUUAUCCCAACUAUUUGGGGUCGGUACACAAAUUUUAUUAUGCCAUUCUGAUCUAUCAAGGGCUAUAUUCUCAAUUCAAACCAUAAGUCACCAUGAUUAUAAGUUACCUUAUUUUUUUUCAUUACUUUUAUUCUUCCCUUUGCCCUUUUAGAGCCUUCUAUUUGAAUCGAAUCGCCCUUUUUAACCGGUGUUGUUUUAGGUUGACUUUGCGCAUGACUAGACCACCUAAGUCUAAUUUCCUUCAUUUUUUCGCUUAUUGAAUCUACCCCUAAGUUCCCUUGAAUGAAUUAAUUCUGAAUACUAUCCUUCCGUGUCUUGUUGUUCAUCCAUUUCGACAUCCUCAUCUCAGCUGCACUUGCAUAUGCUGUUUUUUGACUACUCAAUAGUCUAUCCUAGAAAGCAUAUAGCUAGUUUUACC
rnacentral:lncRNA from 1 species